GCUCCCGAGCGGCCCUGCGCGGUGCGCGGCCCGCGGUGUGGAGUCCGCCAGCCCCGGAGCCGCGUCCCGCACCCUGACGGCCCCGACACAUUGCUAGGCAGUGCAGAUAGGCACUGUCCAGGGUAAAAACAAUCUAAUGGAGGAAACUGACAUUGAUCAGAUAAUCAUCCUAUCAAAUAUGUAAUGACAAAGACUCUUCAGGCCCACCAUAUCCAGUGCCCUGUGGACCCGCCUGAUUGCAUUGGCGGUGCCCGCAGGGCUGCAGAGGACUUGGGCACUCAGAGGUGGAAGGUGGAGAGGAUGGCAAAGAACUCACAUCCUGAGCAGAGCCGUUGAUCCAGUGCACACGCGUGCACAGCGAGGCGAGGCUCAGCCAGAGCAGAUGGGGCUCCAGCUCCCCACCUCACAGCUCAUCGUCUUCCCUUCUGCAGGAGUGCUGAAUCCUCAGGAACUUCUCACUACACACCAUCCUCUCUGCUCUGCAGAGCACCUCCAUUCACUGUCUGAAAAAGACACGAGGAGAAGUUUCCAGGAAGUGCUCCCGAAAGUGUCAAAAGCUGUGCAGCAAAGACAGUUCACUGAGCAGGGAGCUGCUCAUCAAGGAGGGGCCUUCCAAGUCUGCCAUCCGGGAGAUGCUACCCCAGAGAGCCCACAAGAAGUGGCAGCAGGCGCAGGGUGUUGUCCUUUUCCUUGGCACAUUCCUCACUGACCUAGUGAUGCUGGACACUGUGAUGCAGGAUUAUCUGGAGGUGAGUGAGCCUGGGGGCAGAGCAGGGGGGCCAGGAUCCUGAGGCUUGGGAGGAGAGAGCUCCCGUACUGAGCCCUGAGCUCUCAGCACUUGGCAAACCUCCUGUCCUGAGAGCCUCUCAGCCACCCUGUGAGUGAAAGGAGGCUCUGCAUAAGACACCCGUCCCAGUUCCCCAGGCUGGUGAAGCAGCAGAGCCGCCUGACUGCAAAGCUGCAGGAGGUUUUGUUGGGGCUGGAGUCAGCCUCUCCCCCAGACGGUACCCAUGGAGAGGAGAGACGUUGGCUUGCUUCAAGUCAGACAGCACAGAAGUGGCCGAGCAGUCUCUUCCUGCCUGAGGCCUCAGUCUCCCCAUCUGUCAUCAGAGAGGGUUGGGCUGGAAGAUCCCUGAGCCUCAGCUCCCAUGUCCCCCCAGCUCUGAAGCCCAGAGCCUGGCCUAGGUCCAAGCCUGUUUUCUG